UUCCAGCUCUGGGUUUAUCAUAUUUAAUCUAUAUAGAAAGUGUUUACUCUAUUUAAACUGGGUUUUAUAAAGACACACUUGGCUGUAUUUAAAACUCAUCUCUAGAGAGUAUAAAGAUGUGUUUUCAUAAAGAGAUGAAUGUCUGUAGUGGAGCGGUUGUGUGAAAAGUGCUUAUAUGGCAAUGAUCUUGAGAUAUGCUACCAAACGUUGUUCAUCCGCUUCCUUAUCUAUAUCAGAAGAAUUUAAGAACAAUUUUAGGCUCAUAUAAUCUUGUGAAUCUGUCAAGGUUUACACUCAAACCAAUGUUUCUAUUCAAUUAUAUUAGUCCAUGUUCAUGUUUACAAAAGAAAACACACACAUUCUCUUUCUGAUCAUUCUGAUCAUGUGAUUUCACCAACCACAGUGUGUGUACGCGUCUAUAUAAAGACCAGCAGAAAGCUGUCAUUUCUUAUUUGGACUUCAGAAGAUGGACAGAUUGACUUACACAGAGAGAUAUCAGCUCUCAGGUCACACAUCAGUAAUGGAACCAAAUGCACAUUUAAACCUGAUUUUGCUGGGGACCGCAAGAGCUGGAAAGAGUGCGUCAGGAAACACAAUACUGGGACGAAAAGCUUUUGUGACGAAUGAAAGUCCCUUUUCAGGCACACAAGAUGUUUCUGUUGAACACAGAAAUAAAUUAUAAUUUAAAGUAUAAUAAAUUUAAAAACAAUUAUUUUAAAUUGUAAUAAUAUAUCACAAUAUUA